rnacentral:misc_RNA from 1 species
ACACCUCAACUCUUCAUGGUUUUCCAUGAUGAGCUUGGACUUUGGGGGUCUUGCUGGCCUGCGGUCAGCUCCUCUCAAAUGAAUCAGCUUACCAGUGUUUGGUGGGCAUCACAGGUGUGAUAACUAUCUGCGCUUGUGGUUUUCCACCAAGUAACCUUCAGCAGUGGAGGUUCACUGGAGCUCACAGACGUCUCUCCUCAGUGAGGACAGCCCUUUGAAU